rnacentral:snRNA from 1 species
AGGCCAAACUUGGCAUGUGAU